rnacentral:rRNA from 1 species
GGUAAUGCCGGAUGUUCCAGUUGAUCGCAUGGUCUUCUGGGAAAGCUUUCGCGGUAUGGGAUGGGGUCGCGUCCUAUCAGCUUGACGGCGGGGUAACGGCCCACCGUGGCUUCGACGGGUAGCCGGCCUGAGAGGGCGACCGGCCACAUUGGGACUGAGAUACGGCCCAGACUCCUACGGGAGGCAGCAGUGGGGAAUAUUGCACAAUGGGCGCAAGCCUGAUGCAGCGACGCCGCGUGAGGGAUGGAGGCCUUCGGGUUGUAAACCUCUUUUAUCGGGGAGCAAGCGAGAGUGAGUUUACCCGUUGAAUAAGCACCGGCUAACUACGUGCCAGCAGCCGCGGUAAUACGUAGGGUGCAAGCGUUAUCCGGAAUUAUUGGGCGUAAAGGGCUCGUAGGCGGUUCGUCGCGUCCGGUGUGAAAGUCCAUCGCUUAACGGUGGAUCCGCGCCGGGUACGGGCGGGCUUGAGUGCGGUAGGGGAGACUGGAAUUCCCGGUGUAACGGUGGAAUGUGUAGAUAUCGGAA